CCCCUUGACAAAGGGUCAGGCAGCCAGGCUGUCCUGUGCAUCCUUUGGAGUAGGUUACAGAUCCCUGGGCUUUGCUUGGGGACAGCACACUGCCCUGGCACAGGGUCUGGGUGGGAAGAGAGGAUGUCCCUCCUCUGUCUCACAACCCCCUGGCAGUUUCGUGGGUCACAGCACGUCUCUAACGGCUCGCCCUGAGCUGCAAGCUGGGAUUUGUUCCUCUGUGGGGCUGCUUCCCCCGUUGCCAUUAUUUACACCCAGUGCUAUCAGUUCCUGACUAUCUGCAGCAGAGAGGUUUGUGUAAACUGCUGCUGCUGCAUUUCCAGACUGUCUCACGGUCACCAGUUCCUGCUCGGCUCUUCCUGUCAGACGGGUUUGUCUGAUUUCCUUCAGGGAUGGGUGAAAGUGAUGGAAUGGGUCUUAGGACUGGCACCUACAGGAGUUUGUGCCCUGGCACGGUGAUGCCCAUGGCUUGUUCCUACUUUGUCAGGCUGGGGAUUUACAUGGCUGACCUUGCAGAUGCCCAUUCAGGGAAUCCACGUGUUUGAUCCAUGCAGGAUGGUGAAUUUCCAUUCCCAAUGGUCCAUGGCUGAUGUGUAGCUUUGAUUUCCUUGGGGACCUCAUGGUGGUGGUGAUGCUGUGCCAUCCCCAGAACAGCCAUGGCCUCAGCCUUUUACCACCAACCCUUGUGCAUCUCAUUGUCCAACCUCUUUGCAGAGACAACUGCCAUGGGUGUGACAGCAGCCACGUCCCCAUCUCCCCCCACCUCCUCAAUAUCUAUGGAGACCUCUGCACAGCUGCCCACCACUGACUCCACCACUGCAGCCACCCUCUCUCCCUCCAGCCCUGAAACAGAAGCUUCCACCCCAGAGAGGUCCAGCACAUCCCCAGGGACUGGCAGCACCCCAACUCCCACCACGCCUCCUCCCACCACAACAACAGCUACUUCAUCUGAGCCCUUGACAACCCUGGCAAACACCACGGCCAGCCCUGUUAUCAGCACGGAGGUCCCCCUGAGCACCCCCUCUCCCAGCCACCCGGCCAGGACCACAUCCAGGACUACCCCUGGCAUCUUCCCCCCAACUAUGGAGUCGACUCCAGGCAUUGAGUUCUCUUUCCCCACCACGAACUCGACCCAGACCUCAGAGGUUACCCACAGCACCUCUGCAGACCUGCCAAUGCCGCCACCCGUCUGCCCCACUGGCUCAUCCAACACCAGUGCAUCUCGCCUCUUCCUGUCUCUGCGGCUAAGCACCCCCCUGGACCUGGGGAACAGCACGGUGCAGGAGCUGGUGUUGUCCAAGCUCCGUGAGAACCUUCAGACAGCAUUCCCGUGCGCUGGCCUGUCAUUGGAAUGGCGAGGGAAGAGGAGCCCCUGACCACUGCCCCUCGCCCUGCCAGCUCCCACAUGUACUGGCGAGUCAUCUGCUCCCGGCUCCUUACUCCAUGGCAGUGCAGCCCCUUGGGGUAACCUGCACAGCUCCUCUUGAACUUGGGGCUCCCCGUCCUUCCCUGUGCCCCUCCAGUGCCCCCCGUGGGCUGCGGUGCCCCUGCCCCUUCCCACAGCCUGUCUGUAAAGGCCAACACCUCCCACCACCCUGCUCCAGACCCGGCUCCUGUGGUGUGACCCCUUCCAGCGCUGCCAGGGGGCUGGAAGGAGAGGACCCUGCGGGACUGGGCUUUUACAGCUGGGACUGUGCUGGCUCAGCCAUCAAAGCCACCCUGGGGACUGAUAGAUGAGAGGAAGGAGACCUGGAGCCCCCAGUACUGCUGUGCCCAAGGCUCACCUGCGGUAUUGCUGACAGAGGAGCAGGCCCGUGCCAACACGGGCCGGGCAGUAAAUAGAAACUCCAUGCUUUCUGUGUUGAAGUUGAUGACUUCUUUAUUUUUCAAGUUGCCUUUCACAAUUUUCAGCUUUGCCAUCUGUUGGAGGUACAGGAGAGGAAAGCCGCCCGAGUCUCAAAAGCUUCACAUGGAGAGACAGGCUCAGGGCUGUCCCCUCCUGGCAGGGGCGGCCACAGACAUUCCCGAGGAUGGCUGGGAACUCCAGCAGACGGGGGUCCCUGCUUUGGUGCUCUCUGCCCCAUGGCACCCCACAGCUGCUGGGGCAGUUCUACACACCACGGGGCCGUGGAAAUCCUGUGGGCUGUGCUCCUUCCCUGUUUUUUUCCAGUCCCCAGCUAAGGAGACGGCCGCAACAUCUGUCCCCCUGCAGCAAAGUCAUUUAUUAACUGAUUAAUUAGCCAGAUAAAAUCCAACUGAAGCAAUUAUUAGCCUAAGCAAGUCACCUCGCCUGGAGAUUGAAAACUAAAAUAAUUAGAAAAUAGCCCUGUUGCGUGUCAGGGAUUGUUUUUGGCUGAUCCCUAUUCCUCACUGGCA
ensembl:lncRNA